ACAUAUCAAUGAGUUAUAGUAAGAUUGAUAGUGAUGAUUAUCAAUGUACACUUGGGACCAGGAAAAAAGUUUCUUUAAUGCCACGUGCUCAUCGUGCUGUACAAAAAGCUAAUACCGUCCAGUCGAAUAUUUUUUAUCGUAAGAAAUGAGAUCAACCUGCAAGAUAUAACUGUUAUAAUUUUGACGGUUAAAAUAUUUUUUUCCAUUGUUUUCUUCAUGACAGAUUAUUUACAUAAUGAAAAAAGGGACAAGUACUGCGGCUCUUUUUUCUUAUGUCAUCAUAUUG
rnacentral:lncRNA from 1 species